CAAGGAAUUUUCCGCAAUGGGGGAAACCCUGACGGAGCAACGCCGCGUGCGGGAUGACGCUUUUCGGAGUGUAAACCGCUUUUCUUGGGGAAGAUGGAGGACGGUACCCGAGGAAGAAGGCCCGGCUAACUACGUGCCAGCAGCCGCGGUAAUACGUAGGGGCCGAGCGUUGUCCGGAGUUAUUGGGCGUAAAGCGCGCGCAGGCGGCUUCGCGCGCCCGACGUGAAAGCCCCCGGCUUAACCGGGGAGGGUCGUUGGGGACGGCGGAGCUUGAGGGCGGUAGAGGGUGGUGGAAUUCCCGGUGUAGUGGUGAAAUGCGUAGAGAUCGGGAGGAACACCUGUGGCGAAGGCGGCCACCUGGGCCGACCCUGACGCUGAGGCGCGAAGGCGUGGGGAGCGAACGGG
rnacentral:rRNA from 1 species